rnacentral:misc_RNA from 1 species
CCUUGACUUGCCCAUUCUCGUCUCUGUCUCCUGGCCAUUUGCAGGGGCUCCCGCGCCGCGAACAUCUCCGACGUGCUGCGACAGGUGCCGCCCAUACUCACUCAUUAACCGCAUACAUUUAUUUUGCCCCCCCCCCCCCCCCCCCCCCUUGCUGUCGCCCUCUCGACGACGUGAGCACCGCGCGUGUGUGCGUCUGUGUCUGAACACAUCGUCACCAGAUUACAUAUACGCUCUGCAGCAGCUCUCCUGCUACGCCGCGCGACACGGACAACGGCAGAAGAGCGGCGGCAUUUCGGUGGCGGAUCGCUCAUUUUAUUUUUCGUCGCGUGCACGCGUAGCAAGAGGCACAGGAGAGGGAGGUAGGGCGUUAGCUGUGCGUGGCAGCUUGCCGGAGAGAAGACGUGAGCCUGCGCAGCGGAAAAAGGAUAAGGACAGGGGCUGCCUGUAUCUUCUCUCGUCUGCCCCUCUCCGUCGGGUCCCUUCGGGUGCCAUUCGUGGUGUGCCUGUAACUGGCCGUAGGCGUCGGCCUCUACACCGGAUACUAUCCAAACGUCUUUUCGCUUUAGUCUAGGCCCUGGCGAGGACAUGCUCAACGCGAAGAGCCCAUCACCAACCAACAGCAACUACGACUUUGCACUGCGCCAUGAGCGGGUGAAGCUGAUCGCAAGGGCUCUGAAGCAGUUCGGUGUGUACAUCACCCGCACGACGCAGGCGAUGCGCGAGGUGGCCAGCUGCCUCUCGCUCGUUGGCCAGAGCUAUCAUGAAGUCGCGCAGUGCGUCAACAACACGAACCCGCACAGUGGGGUGGAUCGGGACUGCUACAUCUCCUUUAAUAGACAGCUUGUCGAGAGCUACGGGGCCAACUUGCAGAACGCCGCCACGCUCUUCUCCGCUGAGAUGAUGAAUAUCAAAAAUGGCGAGCAGUUCUUGUCUUAUAAUAAAUCGGUGCAUCGCACGGUGAUGGCGCGGCUGCACGAUGUGCUGAAAAUGGCACAAAGGACCCGCGACCUUGGCGAUGAUGUAAAGGCGGAGCUCAAGAAGGCCACCUCCUGGCGGAAGGUCGUUAGUAGAAAAGAGGCAAAGUACAUCCGCAAGGGUCGGCCCUUGACGGAGAGCAAGCUCUACGUGAAGCAGUCGGAGAAGAUGCGGAAGCACGAUCAAGCCUACGAGGCAAAACUGCGAACCUUCGACACCGAGUACGAGUCGCUCAUGCAACGCCAGCUGUACGUGGCGGGUCACACGAUGGACGACUUCCUGGACAUGAACACAGUGUACCUGUCGCACAUUCUGAAGGUGCUCGGUUGCCUAGCCCCGAACGGCGCGGAGGCCAUCCAGAAAAUGCUGGACAGCGGCGAGAAACUCAGCGAUCUCCUGGGCAUCGCGCCGGAGGAUCAGCUCGGCUGUCGACUGAGAGCGCAAAACGUCGACGUGCUCAACAGCAGCAAUGUAACACCGGUGAAGAGAGGCGUCGGCGCCACGCCUGGCAAGGGAUCCCCAGCCAAGUCCAGCUGCUGCGGCUCCUCGCACAACUUCACUAGCUACUACCAGAACCGCCGCCAAGCGGCCUUGUAUGUCGAGGGCGCACCGCCGACGGCGCGCGCACUUGGCGGGGACAGCGGCGGGAGCAGUGAGCCCUACCACACACUCAGUGGAACGCCGCAGCGGCAGCUCAUCUCCAACCAGACGCUGUCGAGAGCCACAUUUGGCAGCGCAGAAAUCUGCAGAGCAGUAAGUCGCUCGUACUCGGCAGCGGAGCCGGCCGCGCCGUCGCCUCUGCAGUCUCCGUCCUUCCCUGCCGCCGUGCCACGCGUCGAUGCUGCGCCGGUGCCGUACGUCAAACAGGUAGCCAUCGGUCUCCACGCUUCAUGUGGGUCGCCAGGCACGACCACAGACGCCGCAAAACAGGCUUGUCCAGCCGGGAAUGCAGCACCAGCUGCAUGGGUGGUAGAGACCAGUGGCCGCCGAUGUAGUGCUCGUGAUGCGACCAACGCACGCACAACGGGCGAACUCAGCCUCGGCCACGCACAAUUUGGCGAUGGCAACACGGCGGUCGGUGCACCGCCUGCAGCUUGCCUUGCCCCAGCGCCGCCGCUCGCCCAAUACAGCGAGGAGAGGCCGAUGGAACGGCCAUUGGACCGCUCAGAGGUGCCGGCUGCUCAGGCGGCCAUGUUCGGACUCGACGGGGCACGAUCCGCGGAGCCUUUUGACGAUCAACUCGUCGCCGACUCGUGCAGGCGCACAUCGCUCUUGCCCCUGAAGCCCAUUGCGCUGUUCCCUCUCGACGUGAGCGAGAGCAGCAUCUCACGGAAAGUGGCACCGCGCACGUCGGCGGCGACGACCUCCGUUACCAAUCCCUCGACACAGCAGCGCUCACGCCGCGACCGGAAGAAGCACAAGACCAAAGUUGCUGCUGCUGCAAGAGGAGGGGCACCGCUGCCGGGCACCGCCUCUGCUCCGCCGGACGAGGACACCAUGUCCAGGAGCACGAGCACGCAGUCUCAGGAGGCAUUGGAGAGCAGCAUUCACGGCUAUCAUGCCGCACACGACCAUUGCCCGCCGCCACAGCAGCUACACAACUUGAAGCAACAUCCUCAGCGCGACACUGCACCCGUCAGCUUGGCACACUUCCAAAUGGGACUGACAGGUUGCAGUGGGGAUGCUCCGUGCCAAUGGCGCAACGACGGACUCUGUUCCGAGACCGGUGGGGUGUCGGGGCGCUCGCAACACUUGUCUACCAGCCAUGGACUGGACAGCCCCACACCGACACCGCAGCCGUUUGCGCUGGGCACGCAUGCAUGGGAGGACUCACAGGUGCGGUCAUGCAGUCCCGCGUAAUGUCUAUGGCCGCAGAGACAUCGAGGCGAGGAAUGUGACGACAUGCGCAGAGUCUUCUGCGUAGACGCAGGGCUGGUAAGUGCGCGAGCGAUUACGCGCGUGUGUGUGUUUGUGUUCUCUUGAUCUCUCCGCGUACGUCAUUGCGUUCCUCGUCAAGGUUCAAGUAAGUGUCUGUCUGCCUUUCUCUGCUUUACACUUUCUUGUUCGACUGUAUGCCGUGCAUUCAACUUCCCUACCGGCGCACAGGGCCAGCCUCCGCCGUCGCGCAUGUCUGCCGGCCCGCACGUUUCUUUGGUCGUCUGUUUUUGUGCUUCUCGUGGCUCCGUCUCUCUUUUUGAAACACACACACACACACACGAAUGGCUCCUCCUCUCUCUCGUGCCUCCUUGUAUCCAUCGCUACUCAGCGGAGGCAACCUUUUUUUUUUUCGCGUUGCUCGUCACCACCUCCUUGUCUAAAGCGUUGCGAGGCGUCGUUUGUGUGUAUGUGUGCGUGUGAAAUAUGCCGCGUUCCGCCUCUGGCCGCCCCUUUCCGGUAAUGUCUCUUGCGGAGAUUCUUUUACAUUCUAUGGUUUCGCUCCAUUCUCUGUUUUCUAUCACCUUCCCUCUCCUUUUUCUGGAUGCUGGAGUGGUCUGUGUAUGCGUAUGCUCCGUUAUCGGCGUCUUCUCUCCACCAGACCUCAUGCACGCACUCGAGCUCUUUGUGUUCUUUGGCUUUUAACGCCCCCAACCCCGCUCUUGCCCCAUUUCCUUCUCGUCCUCUUGUACCUUCCGCCACACCUACGCGUUUGUGGCCUCUUACGUCGUUUUGUACUCUCCCCCCACCACCCUCAUCGCCUACUUUCUUUCUACAAUAGUGUCGCAUGCUGCACGCGCAUGUUCAUUCUCGUUCUCGCGGUUGGCCAGCCUCUCCUCCAUCUCUCUCUAUCGGAGUCGCCUUCUUUUGUUGUUGCCCUCCUCGCUCGGCCACCUCGCCGCUUGCACCGCUUGCUCGUUUCUUGUCGUCGCCCACUCUGCGACAUCGUGGCCGCAGGGUGGAUGUGACGCCGAGAUGUGCCUGUAAUGUUGUUGUAGGGGACAGAGAUUGCUGAGGCGCGCCAACGAGUUGGAGAGAGAGGGAGGCAGUCAUGCAGUCAGAAGACGAGCACACACGCCAAGCGAACAGCACAAGUGAGCAAGGAUACCUCGCUGCCAGGGCGUCUGAACCGCUCCGCUCGAUUCUCCGCGUCUGCUCAACCACUGCCCUUUUUUGACUGCUGCGACACGGCGGCGGCGAUGCAUACACGCACAGCUUAUCCAGCUCCUUGUCCCUUCUGUUCUCUCUCUGCUCUUC